rnacentral:lncRNA from 1 species
UGCAUUAUUAUUUUCAGAAUGGUUGCUCUUGUGUCCUAAAGUUACUGGUUCAUUUAGGUACGUAGCAGGAAAUUAUAGUGGCCAACAUGUCACAUUUACUCCUCUCCAUCCCAAUAUAAUAAAAUUUACAGCUUCAUUUCCCCUUGAAUUUACCUGAUAAAAAGCGAAGAAGACACUGAUGUCGAACAGGGACAAUGUUCGGUCGCCUAUCUUGUAUGAUAAUCAUCAUUGGCAAGAAAACUGCAAGGAAGUAGUUCCUUUCUAUCUUUGUGUUGUUUAGAGUGUGUGGACUUUCAUUCUUGCCUAACCUUCCUAAAGCAAGGUAAAUUAUGUAUAAGUAGCAUGGUAAAUCCUGUGUAAGUAGCAUGACUUUGUGUAAAUACAUGGUAAAUUCUGUGUAAAUGGAUUUUUGUUCAGGCAGAGGGGGAAGUUGUUGAAACCCACGGUAAAUUCUGUGUAAAUAUAAUGAUAUUUUAUGGAUCACAUACCUGAUAAUAUAUGUGUAAACAUCGUGGUAACUUUGACCCGGUGAAUUUUAUUGUCGUUGAAAACAUAACCAACCUGGUAAUUUCUGUGUAAAUAGAAUGAUAUUUACCACACCGUAGAGCUGAUAACUCAUGUACAAAUAUCAUGAUAAUUUUUUGAGCCAGUAAAAAUGUUUAUUGGAAACAUACCCCUCAUAACUUCUAUUAAAAUAUCAUGGUAAUAUACAAACAACACAGCUAAUAACUCACAUACAAAUACCAUGGUAACUUCGGACUCGGAAAAAAAAGUUAUUGACUACUAUACACUCGGUAACUUCUGCACAAAUAGCAUGGUAAUAUAUACAUUGCGGAUAUGAUAAUUUAUUUACAAGGAUCACUGUAACUUUUGACCCCGAAGAAAAAAGUUGUUGAAAACAUAUCUUCAAUAACUUCUGUGUAAAUAGCAUAUUAACUUACUUUCUGAAGAUCUGAUAACUUGCUGGCGAAUACGGUGAUAACUUUGAUCAGGGGAAAAUAGUUGUUGAAAAUAGCAUUGUAAUAUAUGAAUCGCAUAUCGGAUAACUUACGUGCAAACACCGCGGUAACUUUGAACGAAAGAAAAAAUGUUGUUAGAAAACUACCCUUGAUAACUUCCGCGCAAAUACCACGGUUAUAUAUGAACCACAUACCCGAUACCUUACAUACAAACAUCAUGGUAACUUUGAUCAAGAGGGGAAAAUAUUGUUGAAAUCAUACCACCUGUAAGUUAUGUAAAAAUAACAUGAUAAUACGAUGCACAUACCCGAUAACUCACGUACAAACACCGCAGUAACUUUGACCAAAACUGGAAAAAGUUGUUGAAAGACAUACCCCCGAUAAUUUAUGUGAAAAUAGCACGGUAAUAUACGAACCGCAUACCUGAUAACUUACGUACAAAUACCACGGUUAGUUUGACAAAGACGGAAAAGGUUAUUAAAAACAUACCCCUGGUAACUUAUGUGAAAAUAACAUGAUAAUAUACGAACCACAUACCCGAUAACUCACGUACGAACACCGCGGUAACUUUGACCAAGAGGGGAAAAAGUUGUUGAAAGACAUACCAUGUACUUAUGUGAAAAUGGCACGAUAACUUGCAUACCACAGGCAUGGUAACUUUCGACUUGACAAAAAAUUCAUUGGACCAUAUCAACAUGAGAUCUAGUUUUGAAAAUCUUGUCGUGACGAAUCUUUUAUGUGAAAACAAUUUUUACAUCCGAUAGUUUGAGCUACAAAACAUUUUGAAUUUUCGAAAUAAGUAGAAUCUAGGAUGACAUCAACGAUUGUCUCUAGUGUAUAUAUGCAUGUGCAUGUGGAGAAGGGUGGGAGAACCAUUUUUAUGCACCCAGUAAUUUAUGUGGAAAUACCACGAUAACUUCCAUAUCACAGGCGUGGCAACUUAUGUAGCCCAUACGUGGUAACUUCUGACCCGAAAAAAUAUUGUCGGAGCAUACCAACAUCCGAUCUAGUUUCGAAGAUCUCGUCACGACUAAUCUUUUAUGUGAAAACGUUUUUUGCAUCUGACCGGCGGCUUGAGCUACAC